ACCUACGGGGGGCAGCAGUGGGGAAUAUUGCACAAUGGGGGGAACCCUGAUGCAGCGACGUCGCGUGAGCGAAGAAGUAUUUCGGUAUGUAAAGCUCUAUCAGCAGGGAAGAAAAUGACGGUACCUGACUAAGAAGCCCCGGCUAACUACGUGCCAGCAGCCGCGGUAAUACGUAGGGGGCAAGCGUUAUCCGGAUUUACUGGGUGUAAAGGGAGCGUAGGUGGCAAGGCAAGUCAGAUGUGAAAACCCGGGUCCCAACCCCGGGAGUGCAUUUGAAACUGUCUGGUUAGAGUGCAGGAGAGGGA
rnacentral:rRNA from 1 species